CAGCCGCCGCGGUAAUACGAAGGGUGCAAGCGUUACUCGGAAUUACUGGGCGUAAAGCGUGCGUAGGUGGUGGUUUAAGUCCGUUGUGAAAGCCCUGGGCUCAACCUGGGAAUUGCAGUGGAUACUGGAUCACUAGAGUGCGGUAGAGGAUAGUGGAAUUUCCGGUGUAGCAGUGAAAUGCGUAGAGAUCGGAAGGAACAUCUGUGCGAAGGCGACUAUCUGGGCCAACACUGACACUGAGACACGAAAGCGUGGGGGGCAAACAGGAUUAGAUACCCCAGUAGUCCCUGUCUCUUAUACA
rnacentral:rRNA from 1 species